rnacentral:rRNA from 1 species
ACCAGACGAUGCGGGAUCGAAGAUGAUUAGAUACCAUCGUAGUCUUAACCGUAAACAAUGCCGACUUGCGAUUGUUGUGGUCGUUUUUUAGAUCACAGCAGCAGCACAUGAGAAAUCCAAGUGUUUGGGUUCCGGGGGGAGUAUGGUCGCAAGGCUGAAACUUAAAGGAAUUGACGGAAGGGCACCACCAGGAGUGGAGCCUGCGGCUUAAUUUGACUCAACACGGGGAAACUUACCAGGUCCGGACAUAGGAAGGAUUGACAGAUUGAGAGCUCUUUCUUGAUUCUAUGGGUGGUGGUGCAUGGCCGUUCUUAGUUGGUGGAGUGAUUUGUCUGGUUAAUUCCGAUAACGAACGAGACCUCUACCUGUCAUACUACGACUGUUGAUGAGAAUCGGCAGGCGUUCUAUGAGGGACUGACUGGGGUUACCGGAAGGAAGUUCGUG